UACGUAGGUGGCAAGCGUUGUCCGGAUUUACUGGGCGUAAAGGGCGUGCAGGCGGUUUGUUUAGUCUAGGGUGAAAGCUCCCGGCUUAACUGGGAGAGGUCCUUGGAUACGUGGCAAACUUGAGGGAGGCAGAGGAAAGUGGAAUUCCCGGUGUAGUGGUGAUAUGCGUAGAUAUCGGGAGGAACACCAGUGGCGAAGGCGGCUUUCUGGG
rnacentral:rRNA from 1 species